rnacentral:rRNA from 1 species
UACGAAGGGUGCAAGCGUUACUCGGAAUUACUGGGCGUAAAGCGUGCGUAGGUGGUCUGUUAAGUCUGAUGUGAAAGCCCUGGGCUCAACCUGGGAAUUGCAUUCGAGACUGAAUAGCUAGGGUACGGUAGAGGGAAGUGGAAUUUCCGGUGUAGCGGUGAAAUGCGUAGAUAUCGGAAGGAACAUCAGUGGCGAAAGCGACUUCCUGGACCAGUACCGACGUUCAGGCACGAAAGCGUGGGGAGCAAACAGG